CUCGCGUGUGAGGACGGCGAACCACGGUCCUUUGCAGAGGCCGAGAGAGAUGCGGCAUGGCGCGCCGCGAUGCAGUUGGAGAUGGAUGCGGUCGAGCAAAACCGCACCUGGGAGCUCGCUGACCUCCCCCGUGGUCAUCGCGCAAUCACCCUUAAGUGGGUGUUCAAGCUGAAGAGGGAUGGAGCCGGCGCCAUCAUCAAGCACAAGGCUCGCUUGGUGGCCCAAGGCUUCUUGCAGCAGGAAGGAGUCGACUUCGACGACGCUUUCGCUCCCGUGGCACGGAUGGAGUCCGUGCGACUUCUCCUUGCGCUGGCUGCCCAGGAGGGCUGGCGUGUCCACCACAUGGACGUUAAGUCGGCAUUCCUCAACGGCGACUUGAAGGAGGAAGUCUACGUGCAUCAGCCACCUGGGUUUACGAUUCCCGGCCAGGAGGGCAAGGUGCUCCGCCUGCGCAAGGCUCUCUAUGGCCUGCGGCAGGCACCCAGGGCGUGGAACGCCAAGCUGGACUCCACGCUGAAGAAGAUGGGUUUCGAGCAGAGCCCGCAUGAGGCUGCCGUCUACCGACGGGGGAGUGGAGGAAAUGCCCUGCUGGUGGGCGUCUACGUUGACGACCUGGUGAUCACCGGCACCAAAGGUGCAGAGGUGGCGGCGUUCAAGGAAGACAUGAAGGCCACGUUCCAGAUGAGUGACCUGGGGCUCCUCUCCUUCUAUCUAGGGAUUGAGGUGCACCAGGACCACUCCGGGAUCGCGCUUCGACAGUCCGCCUACGCCAAGCGCAUCGUUGAGCUAGCUGGGCUCACCGACUGCCAUCCAGCUCUCACUCCGAUGGAGGAGAGGCUGAAACUGAGCCGCGACAGCACGACGGAGGAAGUGGAUGCUACGCAGUACCGACGCCUUGUGGGGAGCCUUCGCUACCUCACUCACACACGGCCGGACUUGGCAUUCUCCGUCGGCUAUGUCAGUCGGUUCAUGGAGCGACCAACGUCGGAACACCAGCAGGCAGUGAAGAGGAUCGUCCGCUACAUAGCAAGGACCCUCGACCACGGCCUCCACUACCCUAGGUGUCCUGGGGCGGCACACUUCGUCGGGUACAGCGACAGCGACCACGCCGGCGACAUCGACACCAGCAAGAGCACGAGCGGGAUCCUCCUCUUCCUCGUCAAGUGUCUCGUGAGCUGGCAAUCAGUCAAGCAGCAGGUGGUGGCCCUGUCCAGCUGUGAGGCUGAGUACAUAGCGGCCUCCACCGCCUGUACUCAGGCGCUCUGGCUUGCUCGACUGCUUGGUGAUCUUCUCGUUCAAGACACCAGAACGGUGCAGCUCCUGGUGGACAGCAAGUCCGCCCUGGCCCUGGCAAAGAACCCCGUGUUCCACGAACGGAGCAAGCACAUCCGACUGAGGUAUCACUUCAUCCGCAGCUGUGUGGAAGAAGGGAGCAUCGAGGCGAGCUACAUCAACACCAAGGAUCAGCUCGCAGACCUGCUCACCAAGCCCCUUGGGAGGGUCAAGUUCCUCGAACUUUGCUCCAGGAUUGGGAUGAUUCAACUCUCCCACAAGACGACGUACAAG
rnacentral:rRNA from 1 species